CCUAUAGAAGCCCAAACAAGCCCUACUUCACUUUUAUUUCCAAAUUCACUUCUAACCUAGAAGAUAACCUACAAGUCGUCGCACCCAGCAAGCCUUCGCAUCACUGCCGAUCACCAAGACCGUCGCACCACCCAGCUCGCCGUCGUGUUCAUCUAACCCUCACACCCAGCCCUUCAUCUAACCCUCACACCCAGCCCUCUCUCUGUCGCACCCAACCCUCGUACCAUCAAACGGUCUCUCGCACCCACCAGCUGUUUCUCAACGGUCAUUCGCACCCAAUCCUCGCACCAUCAACGCAACCCUCAUUGGAUUCAGAACCCUCCAGCGGUGCUGCUCCGUCAACGCACCCUCAGUGGUCUCUGUCUAGGCGUGCCCUACUACUCCCUCAGUGGUCUCUAUCUCGCAAACCCUCGUUGGAUUCGAAACCCUCAAUCGUUGUUGUCUCUCCCUAAAUCGGCACCAUAAACACUAAUUCUAUUGAAGAUGUUAAUGUGAGAAAUGAGACUGCUGGCUGCCCAGCAUUAACGGAGGCUGCCCAGCAUUGACGUAUCCAACCUGUCUAGCAGGAGUUGCAAGAGUGCUGAAACGAAUGCACUCAACAUGAAGGCCACCAUUAUGAUUUCUUUUUGAGUUGUGACACUGACAUUCAAUACUAUCAUAGAAAACACCAAGCAGAGAUCCAAACAAAGUGAGUAACUAGCAAUAACGUGCUCCAAGCUUAGCCUUUAGUUCUGUGCAUGUCAAAACACAAAUGGGUUGUCAAAUCCAUUUUCUGAGUAUUAAAUUCUGGUAUCCAAAACUUUAUGGCGGUUAGUCUUAAUCUUAGUUAUUCACAUUUUGAUCAUAUCUUAUAAUAAUUUUCGCAGCUGAGGCAUUUCUUCUGGGUUUCCAGCACUAAAUUAAAAUGACCAAUGCUGUUUUUUAUAUUCUCAAUUAUUAUAUGAUAAAUUCUUAACAGAAAUUCCCUGUUAUAUUCUCAAUUAUUAUAUGUAAUCACCGCAAUUGAUUUACUAGGUCUGUAAUGAUCUCGUCUGAACUUGAGUAUUAUUGGAUAUCAUUAUCUUUCUUGUUGCUGUUAGCCUGUAACUGUGUCAUUACUACUCUUUUCCUUUUUCUUUUUUCUUUUUUGUUUUUAAAUUAUUAUUUUUACCUAAAAUUGUUGCUUAUAAUGGGUUUUCAAAAAUCUUUAGAAAGUAAAAUUGGGGGAAUUUGCAUUUAUUCUGCCCUGCAGAGGUCAGUAACUCUUCAUAACUUAAUUGUUAUCAGAUCUCAUUAUCCUUCUUGUUGCUGCAGCUGUGUUAUUAGAACUCCUUUUUUAUCUUUUACUUUUUAUUUCUUAUCUUAUCUAAAAUUGUUGGUUAUAAUGGCUUUCCAAAAGGAUUUUAUUUAACCCAACCCUCGCAGCAUCAACAUUGCCUUGGGACUCUCUACCACCCACGCCUCUCCCUCUCCAGCAGCACCACGAUGCGUUGAUUCCUCUGCCGGAGGUUCUGGUGGCGGUGGCACAACCCCCUCAUCGGAGCCUCUGGCCAAGAAGCACAGAGGGAGGCCUCCUGGCUCCGGCAAGAAGCAGAUGGAUGCGCUUGGAGCUGGUGGCAUUGGUUUUACUCCGCACGUGAUCUUGGUGGAGUCUGGUGAGGGCCGAUUUGAGAUUAUAUUUGCUGGAUUUUGGAAUCAAAGAGUUUGUUUCUGACUUGGGAAUCAAACGCAGUAGGUGACCAGAAAAAGGGGCUAAUAAGCCAGAAAAUGAGCAUGAAGCUGAGCCUCUUCAUAUUUGCUUUCAUGAUCAUUGGAGCAAUGUUCUUUGGUGCUGAGGCUGAACCAUUGGAAGAUGAACAAGCUUUGCUUGAUUUCUUUCACAAAAUUGAUCACUCAAAGCAUCUCAAUUGGGGUUACAAGACUUCUCUAUGCAAGAAGCUGGACAGGAGUAAAAUUGGUCACUGGUUCAAUUCCUCAUGUCAUCUUCUUACAGUGGAUAUGGCACCUCCAACUUGCAACAAGUAAAAAAGUUCACAAAUGUUCGAGAAACAAUUAUGUAUGAUCUAAGGGAAGAAGUUUAAGAGGGCUAGAGGAAGGAGGAACAACAAAGGAAAUAGAAUUUAAGUUGUAUUGUUUCUGUAUUUUUUUCAGUUUAGUUUUGGAAUUCGAACUCGAGAUUUAUUUUGUAUUUGAGUAUUAGUUUUUUAAUGUAUAAAACAAUUAUCGCAAAAA